rnacentral:rRNA from 1 species
UACACACCGCCCGUCACACCACGAGAGUUUGUAACACCCGAAGUCGGUGAGGUAACCUUUUGGAGCCAGCCGCCUAAGGUGGGAUAGAUGAAUGGGGUGAAGUCGUAACGGUAACCGUAUCCGAAGGUGCCGCUUGAUCACCUUCCUUCACUAAGGAAU